CACUCCUGCGGGAGGCAGCAGUGGGGAAUAUUGGACAAUGGGCGCAAGCCUGAUCCAGCCAUGCCGCGUGAGUGAUGAAGGCCCUAGGGUUGUAAAGCUCUUUCACCGGUGAAGAUAAUGACGGUAACCGGAGAAGAAGCCCCGGCUAACUUCGUGCCAGCAGCCGCGGUAAUACGAAGGGGGCUAGCGUUGUUCGGAUUUACUGGGCGUAAAGCGCACGUAGGCGGACUAUUAAGUCAGGGGUGAAAUCCCGGGGCUCAACCCCGGAACUGCCUUUGAUACUGGUAGUCUUGAGUUCGAGAGAGGUGAGUGGAAUUCCGAGUGUAGAGGUGAAAUUCGUAGAUAUUCGGAGGAACACCAGUGGCGAAGGCGGCUCACUGGCUCGAUACUGACGCUGAGGUGCGAAAGCGUGGGGAGCAAACAGGAUUAGAUACCCCGGUAGUCCCAUGAU
rnacentral:rRNA from 1 species